rnacentral:lncRNA from 1 species
CAGCACAAAAAAAAUGAUGGAUGAUGAUAAUUGGAUCAAGUGCUACAUACUGACUUCAAUGAAAAAUGAGUUACAAAGUUAGCAUGAGUACAUGCCAGCUGCCAGAGCAAUGAUCAAUCACCUACAAGAGUUGUACCGUGAGCAGAGUCGUAUUGUAUAUUUUGAAGUGUUAAAGACACUCUUCAAGUCCAAAAUGCAUAAGGGGC